AAACCGGGCAACUUGAGUGCAGAAGAGGACAGUGGAACUCCAUGUGUAGCGGUGGAAUGCGUAGAUAUAUGGAAGAACACCAGUGGCGAAGGCGGCUGUCUGGUCUGCAACUGACGCUGAGGCUCGAAAGCAUGGGUAGCGAACAGGAUUAGAUACCCUGGUAGUCCAUGCCGUAAACGAUGAGUGCUAGGUGUUGGAGGGUUUCCGCCCUUCAGUGCCGAAGCUAACGCAUUAAGCACUCCGCCUGGGGAGUACGACCGCAAGGUUGAAACUCAAAGGAAUUGACGGGGGCCCGCACAAGCGGUGGAGCAUGUGGUUUAAUUCGAAGCUACGCGAAGAACCUUACCAGGUCUUGACAUCUUGCGCUAACCUAAGAGAUUAGGCGUUCCCUUCGGGGACGCAAUGACAGGUGGUGCAUGGUCGUCGUCAGCUCGUGUCGUGA
rnacentral:rRNA from 1 species